GUCUGCGGUGCUCAUUUGUUCGGACAGCGCAUAGAACUGAAAUGAUACAGAGAAGACUAACAUGGCCGCUGCACAGGACGACAGGCAGACUCAUGACGCAUCCUGUACUUGU